CCGCGGCACACGCAGAGAGUGUCGUAGCCUCCACCUGGUGCCCUCUGGCCCCGGGUGCCCUCCAGCCCAGCCUGGCCUCUAGCCUGGGAGAGCAAGGGAAGAACCCCACCUGAAGGUUAUGACGGCCAAGCCCAUCCUGAAGGCAGAGCAGAGUUUGGGACAAAUGACCCGCUCCACUGGACAAUAACGUCCCUUCCGGCCCGGGGUUGCCUGACCCCGACCCCACCCCACUUGACUGGUUCAUGCUGACAUUCGAGGAACAAUCCAGGGAAGGCAGGCCCGAGGCCGCCUGGGCUCUCACGGUUGGCCAGAUGAAGGGGUCCCGCGGCUGUCCCCAGAUGGGUGCAUCCAGGGAGGUGGCCGGAUAGGCACCUGGGCCUCCGUCCCCAGCUUCGCUUGCCCAGGGGCCACGGGAGCCCCGCAGCCACGCUCAGUGGUCUUCGUGGCAGGAAGUGCCAGGCAGUUCCGG
rnacentral:lncRNA from 1 species